GCCCUCGUAGCUCAGAGGAUAGAGCGUCGGUUUCCUAAACCGUGCGUCGCAGGUUCGAGUCCUGCCGGGGGCG
rnacentral:tRNA from 1 species